rnacentral:rRNA from 1 species
GAUGAACGCUGGCGGCGUGCUUAACACAUGCAAGUCGAACGGGAAUCACUUCAUUGAGACUUCGGUGGAUUUGAUUUGAUUCUAGUGGCGGACGGGUGAGUAACGCGUGGGUAACCUGCCUUAUACAGGGGGAUAACAGUCAGAAAUGACUGCUAAUAACGCAUAAGCGCACAGGACCGCAUGGUCCGGUGUGAAGAACUCCGGUGGUAUAAGAUGGACCCGCGUUGGAUUAGCUUGUUGGUGGGGUAACAGCCUACCAAGGCGACGAUCCAUAGCCGGCCUGAGAGGGUGAACGGCCACAUUGGGACUGAGACACGGCCCAGACUCCUACGGGAGGCAGCAGUGGGGAAUAUUGCACAAUGGGGGAAACCCUGAUGCAGCGACGCCGCGUGAAGGAAGAAGUAUCUCGGUAUGUAAACUUCUAUCAGCAGGGAAGAUAGUGACGGUACCUGACUAAGAAGCCCCGGCUAACUACGUGCCAGCCGCCGCGGUAA